AGAACUGCUGGCAGCUCGUUCCCCACCCUCGGACGGAGCAACCAUCGUCGGUGCCUCGUCGCGCCGCCGGCACUGUCCCCCAGCGGCGUCGGACGGACUGCGGCGGUGCAUGUCAACCACGGCUCCAGCACUUGUUUCGUCUGCACGCAUUGUACCAACCGCAGGAAAGUCCGCCGCAAGCAGAUCCGCCGCCCACGACGACCGGGAUUUGUUCCACCGCUUGGUGCGAAAUAGUCCUCAAUGUCUGGUCGUAGCGGGUACACCGGCGAGGGUGGGGAUUCGAUCAUGUCGUGGCCACGUUCUACUUCUCCUACCUCGUCGGAAGUGCAGCCAGGCAAGCCGAUUUGGAGGAGAAGGUGGCCAAUUUAGGUGAUGAAUUGGCCCGUAAAAACCUGAUGAUAUUCGAGCUGAAGCGUACUAUGGAGGAAGAAAAGAAGAAUUCAGAGCUUAUUCGCAAGGAGAAGUUGAGAGUUGAGACAGAUCUUGCCGUAUUUGAUCAAGUGGUAGAAAAUCUAGAACAUGAACUUCAGGCGAUGGGAGAGGAGAAAAGUAGAUUCAUCUGGGCAGUUUUAUUAGUUGUCAUCCCUGUCCUAGCAGUUAUGUGAUUGUGGUAGACGAUUUAGAUAGUAUAUAAUUGUUAUUCAGUAGAUGGCUCUAACCACUGUAUUUUGUUGUGGCUCUAACCACUGUAUUUUGG